rnacentral:rRNA from 1 species
GAUGAACGCUGGCGGCGUGCCUAAUACAUGCAAGUCGAGCGAACAGACGAGGAGCUUGCUCCUCUGACGUUAGCGGCGGACGGGUGAGUAACACGUGGAUAACCUACCUAUAAGACUGGGAUAACUUCGGGAAACCGGAGCUAAUACCGGAUAAUAUAUUGAACCGCAUGGUUCAAUAGUGAAAGACGGUCUUGCUGUCACUUAUAGAUGGAUCCGCGCCGCAUUAGCUAGUUGGUAAGGUAACGGCUUACCAAGGCGACGAUGCGUAGCCGACCUGAGAGGGUGAUCGGCCACACUGGAACUGAGACACGGUCCAGACUCCUACGGGAGGCAGCAGUAGGGAAUCUUCCGCAAAGGGCGAAAGCCUGACGGAGCAACGCCGCGUGAGUGAUGAAGGUCUUCGGAUCGUAAAACUCUGUUAUUAGGGAAGAACAAAUGUGUAAGUAACUAUGCACGUCUUGACGGUACCUAAUCAGAAAGCCACGGCUAACUACGUG